rnacentral:rRNA from 1 species
GUGGGGAAUCUUGCGCAAUGGGCGAAAGCCUGACGCAGCCAUGCCGCGUGAAUGAUGAAGGUCUUAGGAUUGUAAAAUUCUUUCACCGGGGACGAUAAUGACGGUACCCGGAGAAGAAGCUCCGGCUAACUUCGUGCCAGCAGCCGCGGUAAUACGAAGGGGGCUAGCGUUGCUCGGAAUUACUGGGCGUAAAGGGCGCGUAGGCGGACAGCUUAGUCAGAGGUGAAAGCCCAGGGCUCAACCUUGGAAUUGCCUUUGAUACUGGCUGUCUUGAGUUUGGGAGAGGUGAGUGGAACUCCGAGUGUAGAGGUGAAAUUCGUAGAUAUUCGGAAGAACACCAGUGGCGAAGGCGACUCACUGGCCCGAUACUGACGCUGAGGCGCGAAAGCGUGGGGAGCAAACAGGAUUAGAAACCCUGGUAGUCC